rnacentral:rRNA from 1 species
UAUUGCACAAUGGGGGAAACCCUGAUGCAGCAACGCCGCGUGAGUGAUGACGGCCUUCGGGUUGUGAAGCUCUGUCUUCAGGGACGAUAAUGACGGUACCUGAGGAGGAAGCCACGGCUAACUACGUGCCAGCAGCCGCGGUAAUACGUAGGUGGCGAGCGUUGUCCGGAUUUACUGGGCGUAAAGGGAGCGUAGGCGGACUUUUAAGUGAGAUGUGAAAUACUCGGGCUCAACUUGAGUGCUGCAUUUCAAACUGGAAGUCUAGAGUGCAGGAGAGGAGAAUGGAAUUCCUAGUGUAGCGGUGAAAUGCGUAGAGAUUGGGAAGAACACCAGUGGCGAAGGCGAUUCUCUGGACUGUAACUGACGCUGAGGCUCGAAAGCGUGGGGAGCAAACAGG